AUAAUAAAACGGUUAUGAGGACAAAGGGGAAAGUGAUAAAUUCAGUUUUUGAAGAGCAGAGAGUGGAAAUGCUAUGUAAAUAUUUUAAAGCUGAGCCUUGAAGGAGAAGCCAGUAUCAUCUCUCUAUUCUUUGUGAAGUAGUAUCUUGAUCCAAGCCAUAGAGAUCAGGGGGUUCCUGUCGUAGCUCAGUGGUUAAUGAAUAUGACUAGGAACCAUGGGGUUGCGAGUUUGAUCCCUGGCCUUGCUCAGUGGCUUAGGGAUCUGGCGUUGCUGUGAGCUGUGGUGUGGGUCGCAGACAUGCCUCGGAUUCCACGUUACUGUGGUUCUGACUUAGGCCUGCAGAUACAGCUCCAAUUCAACCCCUAGCCUGGGAGCCUCCAUAUGCCACAGGAACAGCCCUAGAAAAGGCAAAAAGACAAAAACAAACAAACAAAAACAAGCCAUAGAGACCAUAAAUUAUAGAUAAUGGUCAGCAAUCUAGUGCAGUAGAACUUUGAACUGCUGAACAUUUCUAUGAGAGAACAGCAAGGAUAUAAUAACUUAAAGUGAAGGAACAGAUUUCAGUUGGAUAGACUUAAUAGGUAUUUUAAAUAGUUAUCCAAUUUGUUCUGACCACUCUAUGAGGUAGAAUUUAUGAUUCUCAUUUUACAGAUGAAGAAACUGAGCCAUGGAGAAGUUAUAUUUUUUGGUUUAACCUGACUCGAUUUUAAAUGACCAACUCAAUUUUCAAAAACAAGCUUGUUUCCAAAGGGCACACAUUUUUAACUACAAAGCAAUGCCCACUCUUAUUAUACAGGGCAGAUAACUAGUUUGACAUAUAUAUAUGUAAUGUAAUGACAUAUAUAUAUAUAAAGCAGAGCAUAAAUUAAGAUGAAGUUUUCUCAUUUCAUCAAGGUAAGAAAAUUGAUUUAUUUUUUUCAUUUGGAAUAUCAAACACAAUAGAUAACUUUAAACAAAUGAUUGGAGAAAAAAAAUCAUAGCAUGAGUUGCACAUAGCAAUAUUCCCUUCAAACACAAAUUCAUGAUAUUCAAAGCCAGGUUUGAUGAUAAAAACAUACCACCCUCUAAAUACAAGGAUAAAGUACUCUCUUUAAUUGAAUCCUGUUGUAUACUUAGGUUACAUGUUUCAGUUAAUCUAUUGAACUUGUUACUACUUUAUAUCUUUUUAACUUACGGCACAAAUCUUCAUGAUGCUUAUUAACAGACAAAAUCAGCCCUUAGGAAACCAAAUAGUUGUAAAUAAAAUAAAAUGCAUCUUAUAUUUUGGACUUUUAUGUCCUUCUCUUUUAAAAAAAUAUGAUUAAAUAUCAUUAGAGAUAAAUCUUUGUGUAUAUCAUCACAUGGAGGGGUAUUUCAAAGAAACACAAAUGAUCUGAAGUUUUAUUUGAUAUUUCAGUUACUGUUAUUUGGAAGGAAACAAGAGAAUGUAUAAUGGCCAUUAUGUUGUUUGGUUGUUGCUCUAUCACUUCUUCCAUUUGAAUUUGAUUUAUUCCUUUUGAAGAACAACUAUUCAUACCAUUUUGGUCCAUGUGAUUUUAAGUAAUGCUAACUCUUCCUUCUAGAUUCCAGAGGUGGCCUCAUAAACCAGACUUUUCAGAGUUUCCUUUCUUUCUUGUUUAGGGUAUAAUUACUUUAUUUUCUCUAAUUGUAUCUUUACAGAACAUUUUUGGUUUUAAACAGAGAGAUAUGUUCUGUCUAUAUGAAAUGUAGAUCUUGAUUGAAUAAUGGAGCUGUAGGUGUACUUCUUAAUGAUGGGUUGUAUAUAGAUGCCUAGAAAAUGAAGUCAACAUAGAGAAGGUCAUCGCCCAAAAAAAAGAUAAAAUUUGAGUCAUACUACUACAAUUUGAGGUCCCGAUGGCUGGAACAUUUCAAGGAUGAGUGAAUAAAUAUCCUUAUUCAUUUUCUUGUUCCUUCUUUCCCUCCCCAUUAUCUUCCUCCCUUCUUCCUUGUUAAUCUUUUCUUUCUUUUAUUUUUUUCAAAUUUAUGCUACUUUAAGAUGAGAUGUCUGUACAUAGCAAAUAAUAAUAAUUCUUAUUAAUAAAGGAAGUAGCAUUUAAACAAUUAAGUAAGGUUUAUAUACUGGCAGGUUACUGCUUUAUUAACAUGGCUGAAGGCAGCUUAAUAAUGGCAUGAGGCCAUGACACUUAGGGGGUCUCACAUUAGGGCACAAACCUCAGAUGACUCAGCUUCAAAUCCUUUUGACUAUAUAUGUAUUCAUUCAAAAUACGUAUUACCAAAAGAGGGCUUGAAUGACUUAGUUUGUGACAUAUUAAUAUUAUCGGCUGGUGUGAGUGUAGAGGGUCAUAUGAAUUUGGGUUUAAUUGGGUUUAGUCACUUCUUUCCAUAUGGCUUAAUGUAGAGCAGUGCCCAAGUUUCUGCUGUGGUGCAGUGGGUUAAGGAUCCAUCAUUGUUCCUGUGUCAGCACAGGCCCAUACAGUGGGUUAAGGAUCCUGUGUUUCCAUAGCUAUAGUGUAGUUGGCAUCUGUGGAUCAGAUUUGAUCCCUGGUCUGGGCAGGUGUGGCCAUUAAAAAAGUAAUAAUAAAGUAGGGCAGUGCCAAAGGAAAGAAGGGCUAUAUCCAAAAAAGUUGGAAAAGGAUGUUCUAUAUGAAAAAAACUACCAGUCAAAUGUAUGAACAUAUGUAUCAAAUUGUCAUAAUAAAAAAGAAUAAUCUUAUUUUAAAAUGAAGUAUUCAUAUUUGUAAUAUACAACCACAGAUCAGUUUGGAAAAAAAUCUUAUUUUAUCUGUAGAGAGAUUUAAGGAUGGAUAAUCCAUUCAAAUUAUUCUAAGUAGGGAUCUUCUAAAAACAGAAACUUGGCUAAGGAAUAUGUAAAACAAUUUUGGGGAAAUCAGUUUCAUGGUUUCAGAGCCAGAAACUACUAAAUGAUUAAGAGAAUGAAAGGGAACAUAAGAUUUCAGUUUCCAGCAAUUUCACAGAUUAGAGACACUGAAUAAACCUCCCAUUGAAAACAACUAAAACACGUGGAACAAAAUAUUUAAAUACUUAAUAUUUCAAAUCUAAUGCAGAGCUGACAAAAUGUAGCAAAUCCUUAGAAGCCAAAAAUAAAAUGGAAGCUGAAAGGCAUGAAGAUAGGCAAAUACUAAAGCUGGUUCUUGAUCUGACAUUAUGUUCUAAACCCUAAUGCAUUUAGGCUUUUGCUUUAAAUAUUUCAGAGGACACUGGAGCUAGAAUUAAAGAUUAAGGCUACCCAAAGCAGGAAGUCAAAAAGCAUCCAAGAUAAACUUGUGAUGCCAAAAGGCUUUAUC
rnacentral:lncRNA from 1 species